UCCGGUUGAUCCUGGCGGAGGUCACUGCUAUCGGAGUCCGAUUUAGCCAUGCUAGUCCACCGGCCCUAGGCCGGGGCGGAUAGCUGAGUAACACGUGGCCAACCUGCCCUGUGGAUGAGGAUAACCUCGGGAAACUGAGGCUAAUACUCAAUAGGAAAUCCUUACUGGAACAGUGGGAUUUCUGAAAUGUUCUGACGCCACAGGAUGGGGCCGCGGCUGAUUAGGUCGUUGGUGAGGUAACGGCUCACCAAGCCGAUAAUCAGUAGUAGCCGUGAGAGCGGUAGCUACCAGUCGUGUUCUGAGACAAGAACACGGGCCCUACGGGGCGCAGCAGGCACGAAACCUCUACAAUGCACGAAAGUGCGAUAGGGGGACUCCGAGUGCGGUCUUCCCACAAGGAAGGCCGCUUUUCUGUACUGUAAGAAGGUACCGGAACAAGGGGUGGGCAAGACGGCUGCCAGCCGCCGCGGUAAUAGCCGCACCCCGAGUGGUGACCAGUAUUAUUGGGCUUAAAGUGUCCGUAGCUUGCUGUGUAAGUCUGCUGUGAAAUCCACGCGCUCAACGUGUGGGCGUGCAGCGGAUACUGCAUGGCUUGGGACCAGACGGCGUCNAGGCUAUUCCAGGGGUAGGAGUGAAAUCCUAAAAUCCCUGGAGGAGCACCUGUGGCGAAAGCGCU
rnacentral:rRNA from 1 species